rnacentral:rRNA from 1 species
CCUUAGAUGUUCUGGGCCGCACGCGCGCUACACUGACAGAGCCAACGAGUAUAAACCUUAACCGAGAGGUUUGGGUAAUCUUGUUAAACUCUGUCGUGCUGGGGAUAGAGCAUUGCAAUUAUUGCUCUUCAACGAGGAAUAUCUAGUAAGCGCGAGUCAUCAGCUCGCGUUGAUUACGUCCCUGCCCUUUGUACACACCGCCCGUCGCUACUACCGAUUGAAUGGCUCAGUGAGACCUUCGGACUGGCUCAGGGAGGUCGGCAACGACCACCCAGAGCCGGAAAGUUGGUCAAACUUGGUCAUUUAGAGGAAGUAAAAGUCGUAACAAGGUUUGGAGUAAGAUCUUUCCGGAGUGACACUUAUGAGAAGCCUUUGUGACACUUUAUUUAGAAUCCUUUGUGAGCCCAGCAAUGGGUACUAACCGCGACUGUAAACAAGAAUGUUGGUAUUAAAUCGCAAGUCAUUUAUUUGGCUACACUUUCGAAUUGCGGGAACACCCUAAAGCCUGUCUUCACCAACCUAUGUGGGAAACCACUAUAGGGGCUUAUGCUAAUAACAUAAGAUACGGUAACAGUAAGAUAAGGAUAUAUGUAAUGGGUAAUCCGCAGCCAAGGCCCUAAGGCAUAAUUUGCUAUGGGACAGGUUCACAGACUAAGUGGAAGUGGGCUGUAUGUGAAAGAAUACCUACAGCUUAAGAUAUAGUCGGGUUCUAUGGGAAAUCAUAGGAGAGUCACGUAUUGAAAGGGGUGACCCAGCAAUAGAUAGAUAUGAGUUUUAUAGUAUUAGCUAGCAAAUUCAAGAUUUCUGUAAAAUUGUCCCAUAUAAUAUUUCUCCUGGUUUCUGGUUUCUGGUUUUCAGUAAAGUCCCAAAAUCAGUUUUAGUUGGAUUGGAAUUAGAGACGCCUGGGACUGUAGCCUUUCAAAGUAGGCAUCAGCUAAGAAGUGUGUUCAAACUUACCCAGCUUUUAGGAGGACCUGCCGUCUUGUCCCCUUUAUGUUCGCCGUCUUGUCCCCUUUAUGAUUUUUUAAAAUAUCAAAAUCGGACAUCCAACUAUUUCUGCGCGCCAAAAUCAAAUACUCCUCCUCUCAAAACCCUUUGCGAGACUGUCACCUCGGUGAGCUCUGCACAGUCCUCCGACCGCAAAUAUGGGUCCCAAGCAACAACCGCAACCACCGCCUAAUCUUACUGCGCACGUNNUAAAGAGAAGUCGUGAAGCAAAUUGUAACUUCACGCAAUUUCGACGCCGUCAACCCUCACCUCUCAGAAGUUGAACUUCUCGCCCUCCGCACAUCUCUGGUCUGGCCUGAUCACAAGCCAGUAUUCAGUCCAUAUGCGGAAACGCAUGAAUGGCUACAGUCAAGUGCGUGUGGGUGUUUGGGAGAACAAAAAAUACCUUACGCACCGUAUGACGUGGUGGCAGUAUAAUGGUAUGAGGCCUACUGGAUUGGAGCUCUCGCAUACACUCUAUGUGGGGACGCAGACGUCACGCAAUAUCAAUCCAAAGCAUUUGAUUGUGGAAAACAAUCAGAUCAAUCAAACUAGAAAGGCGUGUAUCUAUWACUGGGAAGUCAAGUNACGCAAAAAAUAUCUUAGCAUCGAAAAUUCUGGUGGGGAUGUAGAUACUWWUGGUGGACGGGACUUUUCAGCUUGGGAGCAACGUGCUUUGGAUGCGAACGUUUUGUGUGGGAUUCUGCAUGGGCAACAGCCAUGUUCUGUUUUCUGGGCUGUGUGGGCUAAGUUCAAUCGCUUGCGGUUGNACAGAGUNNUCGUGCAGUAGCAGCUAGAAGGCUAGCUAUUGAAGCCGGUGAAGAUUUGUCUUCCCCUGGUGCUGAUCCAUCCUCGCAUUUGGAAGUGUUUGUGGCUGCUGUUCUGUCUUCGGGCGGGCAUGCUACGCCUUCCCUGCCUGGCUCUGGUGAUGUAGUCGAGGAGGAGGAUGAAGAUUCUGCUGGGGACAAUAGUGAGGAUGUCUUAGUUGUAGAAUCAGAACAAGCCGCACCACUUAUGUCUGAGGUCGAUUUUAAGAAUUUCGAUUUUGAUAGAGCUGGUGGUGCGGGGCUGGUAGAAAUUGCAGAUUCUCAGUCAGAAGGAGAGACCAGUUCUUCGGGGGUUGGGUUACCCAGACGACUUCCACUUGUGGAAGUUCCAGUUACGCCUUCGCCUCCGCGUGUUGUGCCUGCUGCUGGUGUUCCUCCUCCACCUGUUAUCUUUACCUCAGACGCACCAAAUCUGGACCAGGAACCGCCACCCAACAAACGACAACGAACUGGAUAGAAAUAUUAUAUUGGAUAGUUUUAUUUGACUUCAAGAUAUGCGUGCCAAUCUGUAACUUGUAAUUUCUGUCUUAUUGCUUGUUUGUCCUUUUCAAAGUAAACGUUUUAAAACCGUUCCGUAGGUGAACCUGCGGAAGGAUCAUUAUUAUAACACUCUUUGUGCUUGCGCAAAGUUUUAAACCCACUGUGAACCAAAAAACCUUUAUAGCUUCGGUAGCCUUUGCUGCGGUCCAACCGUUGCAAUGUCAGCCUGCCGGUAGCAACCAAACCAAACUCUUGUUAAAAAAAUCUAGUCUGAACUAAAAUUUUCGAAUGAAAAUUAAAACUUUCAACAACGGAUCUCUUGGUUCUCGCAUCGAUGAAGAACGCAGCGAAACGCGAUAGUUAAUGUGAAUUGCAGAAUUCAGUGAAUCAUCGAGUCUUUGAACGCACAUUGCGCCCCUUGGUAUUCCGAAGGGCAUGUCUGUUUGAGCGUCAUUACAACACUUCGUUAACAAAUUUUUGUUUGGUAACGGUCAUGGGUGCGGUAUGUGUACCAGGCUUAACGGUCUCUUGCACGCCCUGCCUUAAAUUCUUUACCAAAGAAUGUUCUGCAAGCCGGACUUUGAAAACUUUACGUAGUAGUAUCAACAAAUCGUUCAGUGAUAGAAGUGCGUGCCUGCCUGAAAAACAAUGUAUUUGACCUCUCUAGGUUUGACCUCAGAUCAGACAAGGAUACCCGCUGAACUUAAGCAUAUCAAUAAGCGGAGGAAAAGAAACCAACAGGGAUUGCCUCAGUAACGGCGAGUGAAGCGGCAACAGCUCAAAUUUGAAAUCUGAGACUUUUAGUUUCCGAGUUGUAAUUUGAAGAGGAUGUUUCGGUUGUAACCAUGGCCUAAGUUCCUUGGAACAGGACGUCGUAGAGGGUGAGAAUCCCGUACACGGCUGAUGGUUUACUUCCAUGUGUAACUCCUUCGAAGAGUCGAGUUGUUUGGGAAUGCAGCUCAAAAUGGGUGGUAAAUUUCAUCUAAAGCUAAAUACUGGCGAGAGACCGAUAGCGCACAAGUAGAGUGAUCGAAAGAUGAAAAGCACUUUGAAAAGAGAGUUAAACAGUACGUGAAAUUGUUGAAAGGGAAGCGUUUGCAAUCAGACUUGCUUUCGGUUGAUCAAGGUUCCUUCUGGUUCCUGCACUCUGCCGUUCGCAGGCCAGCAUUGGUUAGGGCGGUGGGACAAAGACUCUGAGAAUGUGGCUCUCUUCGGGGAGUGUUAUAGCUCAGUGUGUAAUGCCAUCAGCUCCUGACCGAGGUCCGCGCUUUUUGCUAGGAUGCUGGCGUAAUGGUUGUAAACGAC